AAACCAUGCAUCGAGCAUUUUCUAAUUAACUCCUUGAAUUACUUCCAUGCUUCAUAUAAUGUUUCAUCCUUAGAUUUCCGAAAGGAUGUAAUAUCGUUCCUCAGUUU
rnacentral:snoRNA from 1 species